rnacentral:pre_miRNA from 1 species
AUGCUACUCCCUCCAUUCGGAAUUACUUGUCUCGGAAAUGGAUGUAUCUAGAAGUAAAAUACGUCUAGAUACAUCCAUUUCUGCGACAAGUAAUUCCGAACGGAGGGAGUAUUUU